AUUGAACGCUGGCGGCAUGCUUUACACAUGCAAGUCGAACGGUAACAGGUUAAGCUGACGAGUGGCGAACGGGUGGGUAAUGCAUCGGAACGUGCCCGGUCGUGGGGGAUAACGCAGCGAAAGCUGCGCUAAUACCGCAUACGAUCUGAGGAUGAACGCGGGGGACCGUAAGGCCUCGCGCGAUCGGAGCGGCCGAUGUCAGAUUAGGUAGUUGGUGGGGUAAAGGCUCACCAAGCCGACGAUCUGUAGCUGGUCUGAGAGGACGACCAGCCACACUGGGACUGCGACACGGCCCAGAAUCCGACGGGAGGCAGCAGUGGGGAAUUUUGGAGAAGGGGGACCACCCUGAUCCAGCAAUGCCGCGUGAGUGAAGGAGGCCUUCGGGUUGUAAAGCUCUUUUGUCAGGGAAGAAACAGCAACUCUAACACAGUCUGCGAAUGACGGUACCUGAAGAAUAAGCACCGGCUAACUACGUGCCAGCAGCCGCGGUAAUAC
rnacentral:rRNA from 1 species